UACAAAUUUACUAUUAGCCCUGUGUCGAGUUGGGUCAGAUUUAAGUAGACAAACUCUCUUACAGCCUGUUUGGCAUCUGGAGAUGGUCCCGAAUUUGGGUGCUUCGAUUUGUUCUCCCUCUGAGCCCACUUCUCCAGUGUUUGGCGAGACUCUCUCUCCCUAAUUUCUUCUCCGAUCACCUUCCAAAUCCAUCCACAGCUGGAUUAUGGGAUGGACAGCGGUACCCCCGUCCGUGGUCACGUAGUCUUAGGCGUGGUGGUAAAAUGACCGUUGUGCCCUCGUUUUUGGCUGGGUGAUUACCGCUGUGGCCCUCGUACUAGGGUUUUGAUUUGUCCGUUUGCUCUUCGUUCGUUUAACG
rnacentral:lncRNA from 1 species